GUUAGAGCUUGAAGGACGGCGGCGGCAGCGGCGGCGGCGGCGGCGGCGGGCGCAGCCCCGGAACGGCGGCCAGACAAGCAGUGGAAGUGCCUUGGUGACCCGUGUCCUGCCCUCUGCCUGGACGCACCCUCUUCCUCUGGGCCCUGAGAUGAGGAUGUGACGCCUGUGACCCCCCCAGGGAGGAAUCCCCCAGCCCCGGCCUCUCAGACGUGCCAGGGCAUGGGCGGGCCCUGAGCCAGAGGACCGGCUGGAGCUGGCGCACACCGAGGCCGAUGGGGAGGGAGGCCGCGGUCCCGGCAGGACGCAGGUGGACGGCGAGAGGCCGCUGGCUGUGAGCGAGGCGCUCCCGCAGCCCCCGCACGGUGCGGCCAUGCGGUUUGGGACAGGACACCCCUGAGAGCGCCGACGCCCCCUCCUCCCGCCCCUCUGUCCCUUCAGGGGCUGCUGCCGCCCAGCGCCCCCCCCUGCCCCCGACCCCGUCCCCCCGGGCAGGCUGAGCGGGGG
rnacentral:lncRNA from 1 species